AGCAGCCGCGGUAAUUCCAGCUCCAAUAGCGUAUAUUAAAGUUGUUGCAGUUAAAAAGCUCGUAGUUGAAUUUCGGGAUCAAAUUGUCGGUCGUGCCUUGGUACGUACUGGUAUUAUUGGUUCCUACCUUCUGAAGAACCGCGAUGUCAUUAAUUUGGUGUCGUGGGGAAUCAGGACUGUUACUUUGAAAAAUUAGAGUGUUUAAAGCAGGCUUACGCUUGAAUACAUUAGCAUGGAAUAAUGAAAUAGGACGUUUGAUUCUAUUUUGUUGGUUUCUAGGAUUGACGUAAUGAUUAAUAGGGAUAGUUGGGGGCAUUAGUAUUCAAUUGUCAGAGGUGAAAUUCUUGGAUUUAUUGAAGACUAACUACUGCGAAAGCAUUUGCCAAGGAUGUUUUCAUUAAUCAAGAACGAAAGUUAGGGGAUCGAAGACGAUCAGAUACCGUCGUAGUC
rnacentral:rRNA from 1 species